UGUUGGUGGGGUAUGGCCUACCAAGGCGACGACGGGUAGCCGGCCUGAGAGGGCGACCGGCCACACUGGGACUGAGACACGGCCCAGACUCCUACGGGAGGCAGCAGUGGGGAAUAUUGCACAAUGGGCGAAAGCCUGAUGCAGCGACGCCGCGUGAGGGAUGACGGCCUUCGGGUUGUAAACCUCUUUCAGCAGGGAAGAAGCGAAAGUGACGGUACCUGCAGAAGAAGCGCCGGCUAACUACGUGCCAGCAGCCGCGGUAAUACGUAGGGCGCAAGCGUUGUCCGGAAUUAUUGGGCGUAAAGAGCUCGUAGGCGGCUUGUCACGUCGGAUGUGAAAGCCCGGGGCUUAACCCCGGGUCUGCAUUCGAUACGGGCUAGCUAGAGUGUGGUAGGGGGAGAUCGGAAUUCCUGGUGUAGCGGUGAAAUGCGCAGAUAUCAGGAGGAACACCGGUGGCGAAGGCGGAUCUCUGGGCCAUUACUGACGCUGAGGAGCGAAAGCGUGGGGAGCGAACAGGAUUAGAUACCCUGGUAGUCCACGCCGUAAACGUUGGGAACUA
rnacentral:rRNA from 1 species